UUAAACGGUAGGGUAUUGGCCUACCGUGGCAAUGACGGGUAACGGGGAAUUAGGGUUCGAUUCCGGAGAGGGAGCCUGAGAAACGGCUACCACAUCUAAGGAAGGCAGCAGGCGCGCAAAUUACCCAAUCCUAAUACAGGGAGGUAGUGACAAGAAAUAACAAUACAGGACUUUUUGGUUUUGUAAUGGAAUGAGUUUAAAGACG
rnacentral:rRNA from 1 species